AACGAACGCUGGUGGCGUGUCUUAUACAUGCAAGUCGAGCGGGGCAGCAAUGCCCAGCGGCGAACGGGUGAGUAACGCGUAAGCAAUCUGCCCCAUAUCAGGAAAUACCCGUGCCAACGCGCGGUUAAUGUCCAGGAGCGUGGCCUUCCGCAUGGGAGGUUGACAAGAGAUUUAUCGGUAUGGGAUGAGCUUGCGUCCGAUUAGCUAGUUGGCGGGGCAACGGCCCACCAAGGCGACGAUCGGUAGCCGGCCUGAGAGGGUGAUCGGCCACAUUGGGACUGAGAUACGGCCCAGACUCCUACGGGAGGCAGCAGUAGGGAAUAUUGCACAAUGGGGGAAACCCGUGAUGCAGCAACGCCACGUGUGGGAAGAAGCAUUUCGGUGUGUAAACCACUGUCGUGAGGGAAUAAGGCGUCUUCUCGGAGACGUUGAAUGUACCUCGAAAGGAAGCACCGGCAAACUUCGUG
rnacentral:rRNA from 1 species